rnacentral:rRNA from 1 species
UACGGAGGGGGCAAGCGUUGUUCGGAGUCACUGGGCGUAAAGGGCGCGUAGGCGGUGCAUCAAGUCAGGCGUGAAAGCCCCGGGCUUAACCUGGGAAUUGCGCUUGAUACUGACGCGCUAGAGAGCGGGAGAGGAUGGCGGAAUUCCCAGUGUAGAGGUGAAAUGCGCAGAUAUCGGGAGGAACACCGGUGGCGAAGGCGGUUCUCUGGGCCUGUUCUGACGCUGAGGAGCGAAAGCGUGGGGAGCAAACAGG